CGUACUUCUAAAAUUUUAGUUACUAGAAGAAAGUUCAAAAACCACUGUGUACAAAGUUUUAGUAUGUGUCAAGGUUGCAACACGGAAAGCAAAUUGAGUAGAAAGAAAAAGGUUCUGUAUUUAACAUAGAAGGAUAGAAGAAUUAUGUGUCCGAAUUUCUAAAUUUGAAAAUAACUACUAUAUGAACCAAUGCAUCAGGCGAACUGAUAUGUCUCGUUUAACAUUAAGAGAAAGACAAUAUUCAAGAACACAUUAGACGAGCAAAUAAAAAUUUUUUGCGUUUUCUUUUAUAAUAACUUACUAAUUAUGUGGUGAAGUUUAAAUAUAGUGAAAACCAGGCCAUGUUAAUUUAUGAAACCAAAUAGCAUGUCAAAAAAAAAGAAGUUUUCAGCGUCUAAUUAUUGAUUUGCUUCUAUCGUCAAAAUGCAAAACAUUGUUUUCCAUAUCUUCAUUGCACUAGACACGUCAGUACCUAUUUUGGA